AUACCUUUCUCGGCCUUUUGGCUAAGAUCAAGUGUAGUAUCUGUUCUUAUCAGUUUAAUAUCUGAUACGUGGGCUAUUAGUCCACAUGAUAUUAAAUUAAUUUUUUCAAGGGGAAGAGCUCACCACAAUAGCUUGCUAUUGGAGCUCCUAAGCGUCGCCCAUGCGUUGCACUGCUGCACGGGCCGGGCGCACCCCAC